rnacentral:rRNA from 1 species
AUUGAACGCUGGCGGCAGGCUUAACACAUGCAAGUCGAGCGGGGUGAUGGUGCUUGCACUAUCACUUAGCGGCGGACGGGUGAGUAAUGCUUAGGAAUCUGCCUAUUAGUGGGGGACAACAUCUCGAAAGGGAUGCUAAUACCGCAUACCUCCUACGGGAGAAAGCAGGGGAUCACUUGUGACUUUGCGCUCAUAGAUGAGCCUAAGUCGGAUUCGCUAGUUGGUGGGGUAAAGGCCUACCAAGGCGACGAUCUGUAGCGGGUCUGAGAGGAUGAUCCGCCACACUGAGGCUGAGACACGUCCCAGACUCCUACGGGAGGCAGCAGUGGGGAAUAUUGGACAAUGGGGGGAACCCUGAUCCAGCCAUGCCGCGUGUGUGAAGAAGGCCUUAUGGUUGUAAAGCACUUUAAGCGAGGAGGAGGCUCCUUUGGUUAAUACCCAAGAUGAGUGGACGUUACUCGCAGAAUAAGCACCGGCUAACUCUGUGCCAGCCGCCGCGGUAA